rnacentral:rRNA from 1 species
GAUGAACGCUGGCGGCGUGCCUAAUACAUGCAAGUCGAGCGAACGGACGAGAAGCUUGCUUUCCUGAUGUUAGCGGCGGACGGGUGAGUAACACGUGGAUAACCUACCUAUAAGACUGGGAUAACUUCGGGAAACCGGAGCUAAUACCGGAUAAUAUUUUGAACCGCAUGGUUCAAAAGUGAAAGACGGUCUUGCUGUCACUUAUAGAUGGAUCCGCGCUGCAUUAGCUAGUUGGUAAGGUAACGGCUUACCAAGGCAACGAUGCAUAGCCGACCUGAGAGGGUGAUCGGCCACACUGGAACUGAGACACGGUCCAGACUCCUACGGGAGGCAGCAGUAGGGAAUCUUCCGCAAUGGGCGAAAGCCUGACGGAGCAACGCCGCGUGAGUGAUGAAGGUCUUCGGAUCGUAAAACUCUGUUAUUAGGGAAGAACAUAUGUGUAAGUAACUGUGCACAUCUUGACGGUACCUAAUCAGAAAGCCACGGCUAACUACGUG